rnacentral:rRNA from 1 species
UGGGGAAUAUUGCACAAUGGGCGCAAGCCUGAUGCAGCCAUGCCGCGUGUAUGAAGAAGGCCUUCGGGUUGUAAAGUACUUUCAGUCGGGAGGAAGGUGGUAAGGUUAAUAACCUUAUCAAUUGACGUUACCGACAGAAGAAGCACCGGCUAACUCCGUGCCAGCAGCCGCGGUAAUACGGAGGGUGCAAGCGUUAAUCGGAAUUACUGGGCGUAAAGCGCACGCAGGCGGUUGAUUGAGUCAGAUGUGAAAUCCCCGGGCUUAACCCGGGAAUUGCAUCUGAUACUGGUCAGCUAGAGUCUUGUAGAUGGGGGUAGAAUUCCAUGUGUAGCGGUGAAAUGCGUAGAGAUGUGGAGGAAUACCGGUGGCGAAGGCGGCCCCCUGGACAAAGACUGACGCUCAGGUGCGAAAGCGUGGGGAGCAAACAGG